UGGAUGAAAGAGCGCAGCAAAAUGCGAUACCUGGUGUGAAUUGCAGAAUCCCGCGAACCAUCGAGUUACCAAAGUUUGGCCGCCCCGAAGGGCCUUUCUGGGCCGAAGGGCACGUUCUGCCUGGGCGUCACGCCAAAAGACACUUCCCAACCCACACAGCGGGAGAGGGAGGUCGGUGUCUCGGUCUUCGUGCCGCAGGGCGCGGUGGGCCGAAGAUGGGGCUGCCGGCGAAUCGUGCCGGGCACAGCACGUGGUGGGCGACACUCAGUUGUUCUCGGUGCAGCGCCCCGGCACGCGGCCGGCGCAUCGGCCCUAAGGACCCAUUGAGCACCGCAGCGCACCGCCGCUCGGACCGCGACCCCAGGUCAGUCGGGACUACCCGCUGAGUUUAAGCAUAUCAAAGUUGGGAGGAAAG
rnacentral:rRNA from 1 species